GACACGGUAGCUCAGUGGUUAGCACUAUUGCCUUACAGCAAGAAGGUGCCUGGUUCGAGUCCUGGCUGUGUCA
rnacentral:tRNA from 1 species